UUAGUGCAGCAAAGAAAAUACAGGAUUUGCGAUACUCAAUUAAUUAUACAACAUGUAAGCAUAAAUAACAUGAUGAUUCAACAUCUCAUAAUAUUAUCAACCAUCAUCUCUUAAAUUAGUUAAAGUUCAGUUUUCCAUCCACGAGACCAUCCGAUGACCUUCCCAAAUACACCUCACUCCAUUCUUCCAUUCCAUCCCUUUGACCUUACAUCUCUGGAAUUAGAAAGAAAAAUAUGCAUUUCCUUCAAGGUACCAUCAUCACUAGUCCGUUAUCAUUUUCUCUAGUUUCUCAUGCUGUAAAACAUGGAUCGGAUCUACAAACAUAGCUAGAUACUUUCUCUCCAUAAUAGAUGACUACUGUAGAAUGACUUCGGCAUUCAUGAUGAAACAUAAGAGUGAAGCAUUCUAUUUUUUCAAGGAAUGGAAGAUUCUGGUCGAGAGUCAAACAGGGAAGAAGGUAAAACGUCUUCAAACUGAAUAACGGCUUGGAAAUUUGUUCUGCCGAGUUCAAUGAACUUUGCAAGGAAGAACACAUUACAAGGCAAUAUACGGUGAGAAAUACUCCACAAAAGAAUGGUGUUGCUGAGCGAAUGAAUAUAACUUUUUGGAAAGAGCUCGUUGUAUGUUUUCAAAUGCCGGGCUGAAUAGGAGUUUCCAAGCAGAGGCUAUAAGCACAAAAUGUUAUCUGGGUAAAUGUUCUCCCCGCCACUCUUGAUGCGACCAUUUGUACGUCCAAGGAGCCACAAGUUACCAUGACAAUCCAUUAAUCCAAUGUCACCUGUAUCAAACCAGACUUCACUCCUCUGAUUUGAUGUGUUUGUGAGGGUUUGAUCCCAAUACCUGAGCAUUAAAUGUGGCCCUCUAGUUAAAAUUCUCCCAGUGUCACCAUCUUUGCAUAUCUUUAGUUCUACAUGAGGUGCAGCCUUGCCAACACAAACACCUUGUGGUUGGUGAAUGAGAUGCUUGGAUUCUUCUUCACCAUAUGUUUGAAAAGGAUGGCUAAUGGUUUUUUGCAUUGGAUCAUACAGCGUUAGGAAUGUCAAUGAAGAACAUGCUUCUGUCAUCCCUUUGAUAAAUGAAAAUUGUUACUGAUUAUGAGACCAAAUGAACUUGCUACAUGUAAAAAUAUGACAACUUAAAUGUGUUAUUGUAACUUGUAAGUAUGUUUUUUCCAUUUAA
rnacentral:lncRNA from 1 species